UUAGAGCAAUUUCACACACCUUGGAGGAGGAUCCUUGGAUGCUUAGGCUCCAUUCAACCAAGUUUAGGGUUAUUUCUUCCAUNCUUUCAUUAUUUUCAUCUAGUUUCACCAUGAUUAUGGUGAACUAAGCCCUUUGUUGUUGGGGAACAAUGUAAUCUUUUGAAACUCUCAUAUAUUCAAAUUCUUAUUUAUUUCAUAUGCUUGCCAUAUACUUGUUUAUCAAUUGUUGGGUUCUCAUCUCUGCUCAAUGCUUUUAUUGUUUAACUCAUUCAGUAAAAGAUGUUUGUCUUUAUCGAUAUGGGGACUACGGUAAUGUCAUGAACUGGUGGGAAAUUCCUUGAUUAUGCCAAUAUCCCCUAGGGAUAGGGGUAGGACGGUCAAUUGUAGUUGCUUCCGAUCACAUUGCAUUAUUGGUUACUAGGGGAGGCUAGGGAUACCAAGCCGGUAAUUAAUAAUAGGCUCUUUUUACCAAGGGAUUGGGUUAAGGGUAAAUAAGAAAGUGUGCAUGGCAAUUAGAUAAAUAAGUGAAGUAAAUAAGAAGAGUAGAUAUAUGAGAGUGGAUAAGAUGAAAUUGUGAACGCCAACAACAACAUUCAUCCAUAGUUUCUCAAAACCAAUUGAAUCAACUGCAUUGCAUGUUUAUUUUUGUUCUUUGCAUAUAACCACAAAAUUUAUUCUCUUCUCAAGUCUUACGCGAUUAGGUUACAUGAAAGUUAAGGCUUAAGAGUCCUUUAGAAAAAUGAUACUCGGACUUACCCAUUUAUAUUACUUGAUAAUGAUCUGGUACACUUGUCAGGGACUUAACAGAGUCUAGCAUAGCUCUCCCCACAUCUACAUCUUCAAUCACACAUGGAAGAGUAAGACUUCCUGGGUCCUUCAUCUUUGGUAGAUGAUGUCUCUUUCUAGGCCUUGCAUGCACUUCUUGUUCUUCUUUUUCAUCUAAAUUUAUCACCUCUCCAAGAUAGUAUUUUAUUUGCUUGGAGUAAACAGGAAUCUGGGGAAAAUUUUCAAUUAAGGAACAACAGUCACCUGGUUAAAAAUUUCCCUGAAUGGCCCACAGUGACUUCCUUUUCUCUCAUUUUCUCUUUUUUUUUUUCAAUCCUCUCCUCUUCUUCUUCUUCCUCACUGCUCUCAAUCUCCAUAUUUUAACUCAUCUCCUCAUCUUCCUCCUCACUACUUUCCACCUCAAAAAAUUCCUCUUCUGCUUUUCUCUUGCUCCUAGUCAUAAUAGCUUUACAUUCCUCCUUAGGGUUAACAUCAGUAUUAGCCCUAAAUUGGUUCUUCUCUGUCAUCUCCACCCUUUUUUCCAGUUGACCCAUCUGCAUCUCCAAGGUUC
rnacentral:lncRNA from 1 species